rnacentral:rRNA from 1 species
AGAGUUUGAUCAUGGCUCAGGAUGAACGCUGGCGGCGUGCUUAACACAUGCAAGUCGAGCGAUCUUCUUCGGAAGAGAGCGGCGGACGGGUGAGUAACGCGUGGGUAACCUGCCUCAUACACAUGGAUAACAUACCGAAAGGUAUGCUAAUACAAGAUGAUAUAAGAGAUUCGCAUGAAUUUCUUAUCAAAGCUCCGGCGGUAUGAGAUGGACCCGCGUCUGAUUAGCUAGUUGGUAAGGUAACGGCUUACCAAGGCGACGGUCAGUAGCCGACCUGAGAGGGUGAUCGGCCACAUUGGAACUGAGACACGGUCCAAACUCCUACGGGAGGCAGCAGUGGGGAAUAUUGCACAAUGGGCGAAAGCCUGAUGCAGCAACGCCGCGUGAGCGAUGAAGGCCUUCGGGUCGUAAAGCUCUGUCCUCAAGGAAGAUAAUGACGGUACUUGAGGAGGAAGCCCCGGCUAACUACGUGCCAGCAGCCGCGGUAAUACGUAGGGGGCUAGCGUUAUCCGGAUUUACUGGGCGUAAAGGGUGCGUAGGUGGUUUCUUAAGUCAGGAGUGAAAGGCUACGGCUCAACCGUAGUAAGCUCUUGAAACUGGGAAACUUGAGUGCAGGAGAGGAAAGUGGAAUUCCUAGUGUAGCGGUGAAAUGCGUAGAUAUUAGGAGGAACACCAGUAGCGAAGGCGGCUUUCUGGACUGUAACUGACACUGAGGCACGAAAGCGUGGGGAGCAAACAGGAUUAGAUACCCUGGUAGUCCACGCCGUAAACGAUGAGUACUAGGUGUCGGGGGUUACCCCCCUCGGUGCCGCAGCUAACGCAUUAAGUACUCCGCCUGGGGAGUACGCUCGCAAGAGUGAAACUCAAAGGAAUUGACGG